CGGUCGGCAGAUACCGAGGCGUCGCCGCCCCGCAAGGGGAGCUGAACCUGCCA
rfam:Blastochloris viridis isolate 1 genome assembly, chromosome: I